GACGAACGCUGGCGGCGUGCUUAACACAUGCAAGUCGAACGGAGAGGCCCUGCUUUUGUGGGGUGCUCGAGUGGCGAACGGGUGAGUAACACGUGAGUAACCUGCCCUUGACUUUGGGAUAACUUCAGGAAACUGGGGCUAAUACCGGAUAGGAGCUCCUGCUGCAUGGUGGUGGUUGGAAAGUUUCGGCGGUUGGGGAUGGACUCGCGGCUUAUCAGCUUGUUGGUGGGGUAGUGGCUUACCAAGGCUUUGACGGGUAGCCGGCCUGGGAGGGUGACCGGCCACAUUGGGACUGAGAUGCAGCCGUGACUCCUACGGGAGGAAGCAGUGGGGUAUAAUGCAGCAUGGGCGGAAGCCUGAUGCAGCAACGCCGCGUGCGGGAUGACGGCCUUCGGGUUGUAAACCGCUUUCGCCUGUGACGAAGCGUGAGGGACGGUAAUGGGUAAAGAAGCACCGGCUAACUCCGUG
rnacentral:rRNA from 1 species